rnacentral:rRNA from 1 species
AUUGAACGCUGGCGGCAGGCCUAACACAUGCAAGUCGAGCGGAUGAAGGGAGCUUGCUCCUGGCUUCAGCGGCCGACGGGUGAGUAAUGCCUAGGAAUCUGCCUGGUAGUGGGGGAUAACGUCCGGAAACGGGCGCUAAUACCGCAUACGACCUGAGGGUGAAAGUGGGGGUUCAUCGGACAUAACGCUAUCAGAUGAGCCUAGGUCGGAUUAGCUAGUUGGUGGGGUAAAGGCCUACCAAGGCGACGAUCCGUAACUGGUCUGAGAGGAUGAUCAGUCACACUGGAACUGAGACACGGUCCAGACUCCUACGGGAGGCAGCAGUGGGGAAUAUUGGACAAUGGGCGAAAGCCUGAUCCAGCCAUGCCGCGUGUGUGAAGAAGGUCUUCGGAUUGUAAAGCACUUUAAGUUGGGAGGAAGGGCAGUAAGUUAAUACCUUGCUGUUUUGACGUUACCAACAGAAUAAGCACCGGCUAACUUCGUG